rnacentral:lncRNA from 1 species
CGAGGGCAUGUGUUAUACACACUUACUUCAUCAGCGGUUUUAAGAAGACAGCCCGUGUCUCAAAAGCUCCCACUCUCCCCUGGAAGCUUUCAUCCACUGUUCGGGACAGCUGUAUUUCCCUCAGCUCAGUCCACGGCCUUAAUCCAAAAGGCUCUGCCGCUAAUUUCAUUGGUUCCAUCAGGCUCAUUUCCUUUGGCACAUGACAGGGGAAAUGACAAUUAUUUUCUCAGACUGAGCUCUAAGUUGUUCAUUUGGCAAAAUAAAAUUUCAAAUUACUGGUUUUUCUGUUUUGAUUCACAGAAAUGACCAGGCCAGUUACAGAGAAUGCGC